CUGAACUGAAGUAAGUCUUCCACAAUCCCAAAGGACUACCUGAGAAGGAGAUGAUGACAUUCAGUGACCAAGAAGCAAUUUGCAUUCAUGUGAUUUAUGGGUUUCCUGUCAAAAUUGCCCUUUGUACUCCUAUGAUUGGGUCUCAAUGAAGAUGGCAGCAUUGCUGUGUGUGCAGUCCUCUGAGUUGCAGAGUCCUGUACUGACUCAGUCUCCCUCUCAUUUUUCUCCACCAUCUCCAUUUCAACAGCAAUCCUAUGCACUUUGGUGAAAGUGAGCUCGGAAGCACCUAAAACCUCCACUUUAAUGUGCUGGUCACAACGUUUUAUUCUUUGGAAUUUUCAGCUGUAACCCUUACAAUGUAAUUGGCUUUGAAUAAUCAAGGUAAUCAUUCAAGAGGGAUUCAGAAAAUGUUGCAAGAUAUGCAUGAAGACAAUUCCUCAGAUGACAUCCCUUUUGUUGGUGCACUUUUCAAAGAUAGACAAUUGCACUUCAGUCGGUCCACGUGUGCAGUUGAGUUUUCAUCCGAGUGAUUCAUCCCUCACAACUGAACUCAAGCAGACAUCAUUGACACAAACAGCAGUGGUGUCACCACGUUUGGAUGCUGGGGAAGUAAAUUAACAAAAUUUCCUUUAAUUAAGAAAGCAAUCAUGCCUGAAGUUCCAGUGCACUGCUGCUUUGUCACCUUAUAUUGUGGAUGGGAAGGGAGACCUGAAAGAAACACAUUUACUGAAAAAGAGAGGCAUUUUUAAAGUAUAAUGCCUGCAGGAAGGUGGAUCAACAAAACCUCCUCUAUAGUGAAAGAAAAAGGAUUCUGAAGUAACCACACUACAAGAUGUGAUACUGAUAUUAUCCAGGACAUUGGAUCUAUACAACACAACAAAAUCCUUAUCUCAAGCAGCAGAACCAGAAUUCGAAUUUGUCACUGGGCACUCACCGCAUGUUUCCCCGGGCCAAUCUGCUUAAACGUGGUUGACAUGGAAAUUGGAGGCACGACUGCCAUUGACUUCCACUGUUCGGGAUCCUGCCCCAC